CAUUUUUAAAAUUGGCCACAAAAGUUUCUUCUUUUCAUAUUUUUGGCACCCUACUUUUUUUUUGUUACACUUUGCCACAUUAUUUUCGUUUGUUUUGAAUCGGUUGCUCAGACCUGAUGCGUUGUCUUUUUCUUGACAUGCGUUGUCUUCUUCUUGACAAUGGUGUCCUACACAGUUUUUAUUCCCCAAUUAAAUUACUCCACCACACCACCACCGACUCCAGCCCGAUGUUUGGUCCACCGCCUUCCCUUUUAUCUCUAUUUCCUCCUAUACAUAUUUUAAGCCCUCGUCUCCGCCUAGGAGGCACCUAUUUGGUUGAAGGCACGGGUCGCAUCUAGUCUUUCUGAGUGUCGCCCACCGCCAUCGACUUCCUAUGAAAAUCACCGUCUCUCUUCCAAAUUACUAUGAAAAUCACCGUCUCUCUUCCAAAUUACUAUACUAACAUCAGAGUGUUUGUUCUUUAUAGUUGUGACCCAAAACCCUCUCACCACCACCGCCCCAUACAUCGCUGCUCGCCACUACCGUAUAGAAACAUGAGUGUAAUCGAUCGUCUCCACCCGGGUUUCGAUUUCGGGGUUAGGUUGAGAUAGGAAUCGACGAUGUGUAUGUGGAAGUUUCAAUGAUUCCCGAUGUUCAGGUGAGAUUUCAUUUCGAUUUACCUAUAUAAUCUAGCAACUGGAUAAGAGAUGUGGUGAAACAGAGGUUGAAGAAGCCGACGAUGGAGGUUUUGAAGAAAAACCAUCAACACCACACAUGUUCUGCAUAAGUGUAACUGCUUCUGAUAUCAACACCCAUGGUUGACUCUCUGUUCUACCACCUAUUCCUCCCGUUCUUAAAGUCUCCAUCCUCAAAGGACUGCUCUCUUCACUCACCGCCUUUGUCAUCACCGGACAUCCAAUGUCUCUUCAUUUAUUCUUGGAAACCAAAUAGUUUUUAGGAUAAUUUUAAACACCUUAAUGUGAUUCGUGUUUUUUUCAGGGAUAAUUAGGUUGGUUUUGAUUUUUGAUACAAAGUUUUUUGUUUCAUCUUUGCGAAUUGAAAUGUGAGCUAGUGUGGCUAUCUUUUCUGCAAGAUUAGAUGAGGAAUUCUCUCAACAGAUGCUAAUACUUACCAUGAAGAAGGUACUUUGGUUUCUUAGGUACAUUUAGAUGCUAAUAGUGAUCAUAAAGAAGGGACUUGUAGUUUCUUUUGGUUUCUUAGGUACAUUUAGAUGCUAAUAGUGAUCAUAAAGAAGGGACUUGUAUUGGAUGUUUCAUUCUAUCCGAUUAGAAUUAGUUGAAGCCUCUGAUUGGAUGUGAUGAACUGUAACGAGGAGUGGGCGAAAGUGAAAUCCAAAUAUGAAAACUUGCUUAUAUAAGUGCCGACGUAACUGAAGGGUUACUCCUUACUACUUUUUUUUUCUACAGAUUACCAUCUUAUUUUCUUUAUGUAUCUAGAAUGAUAGUGGUGCUUUUGGUUUUAACAAAAAAAUAUACUCUCAA